CACGACGAACCGGAGUCUUUUUUCAGCUCCGCGACUACAAAACCCUCUACCCAACCCUUUAUGGAAUCCUUAUAGCCCGUGAGGAUGGAUAAACCCCCACAGGGGAAAAGUAAUAAAAAUUGUUACUUGCUCUGACUAGACGAAAAAAGGUCACGAAUAGAUGAACCGUGGGCGUAAAUCCCCAGCUCAAGCAAAUGGAUUCAAAGCAACACAUGAACAAAAUAGAAUUUGGGGAUAGCAUUCGGGGAGUUA
rnacentral:lncRNA from 1 species